CCUCUAUUCUCCCCCUAUCCACCGCAAAAAAAAAAAAAAAAAAAAAUCUUUUUCCAUCGCGUCUCUUUUCUUCUCCGUUCCUUAUUUUUCAAGUUUUUUGAGAAGGAAGACUACUGCAGGUGAAGGCUUGUCAGUUCUAACGUGAUUUAGGGGAAGCGCCUUCUCAGUUAACAGGGGAAGCUAAACAAAAAACAAAAAUCGAUCUGAUUCAUUCCCAGCCCUGAAAUUCCUUCCCCGAUCUUCAUCAGCAAGUUUUGAUCAAGAGGUGAUGGGAGACUGAAGAAUGGGUGUUCUGAUUUGAUUUGUCGUAGAACCAUGAGGUCCUAAGGAGCAAGGAGUACAAAUCAUUUCAUCUCAUGACCAAGGAUUCAAAAGCACCAACCGGCUUGAUGAUUAAAACUAAGGUGUAGCAAAUUCGGUUGGUAAUACGCUGGAGAUUGAUGAAAAGGUCGUUUACCUGCAAACUGGAGGGGUUCUCUUCAAUAUCGGCGUCUGUCUAUUUCAUAUACACCAACUGGGUUCAAUGUUGAGGGGACGAAGAUGGCAGUUAACAACCACAAAUCUGGGGCUGUUCUGGCUGUUUUUGGUUCGUUGUUGUGCUUAAACGUUUGUGAAGAUUUGGAGCUUCUGUUGCAACGAAAAGAAGUACGGUUGCAGGGACAUCUAAUCGUGGGUACAAUACAGGGAAUGAGUCUCAUGUGCUUUAGGAUGCAAAGCGGUGUCUCUUCAUCACCAGCCGAGGUAUGAGAAUGAAACACAAAUAAAAAAAAGCGUAUGGGUGGUGGGAAUGACCAGCAAGGUGAUAUUUGCUGGUCCCACAAAACAUAAAACCAAAAAACCACAUACCAAACCCUAAGAAAAAAUAAAAAACAUAACUCUUCGUUUCCUCAACUCUGUCUUUUGAUUUCGAAAAAAUUCUUCGCCUCCUUCACUGAAUCUUUAACCUUGGGUAAAUAUUUUGAUUUCGACAACCUAGCCCUAAUCUCUAACCUUGCGUCAAUAUCAAGUAAUUGUUUCGAGGAGGAUUGGGUUCUAUUUCGAAUCAACAGGUAAAUUGAAUUCAGCCCUGAUCUCUUUCGAUCUCAACAGGUACACAAACGAUAACUCUUAACCAGGGUUUCGUUUUGGGAAGAGUAACUGAGAAUGAGUCUAAAUCGGUAAGAAUGAGAGUGGGUUAAUCGGAGAUGGGGGUUUGAGAGUUCUUGGAUGAUGAUAAGAGUUUGGUUGAGAUCGAUUUGCAACCAGAUGAAGAAAUCAAUCAGGAAAAAAUAUCCCAGGUUCAAAUAUUUCUCUAUUUUUUCCCUAUAAAUUUCAAUUGAAUUUCGAUUUCAGAAUUACUUAUACAUUCAAUGGGGCAAUGGGUAGUUGCAGAGAUGUUGUUGGUGUUGCUACCAGAGAAGCUACAGUAAUGGGGCAAUGGAUUUUGGUGUAUGCCAUAGGCCCCGGCUCUGUCCAGAUACUAUGAUCCAAUACUUUGAAACUCACUUUUUAUUGUUUCGAUACGUUAAAACUCACUUGCAGGUGUUGUUGUUGGUGCUGGAUGGCAAAGUGUCAUAGCUUAUGUGAACCUAGCCUGUUAUUACUUGGUCAGAAUUCCUGUUGUAAUGAUCCUCGGUUACCUUAUCAACAAAAUCUAAAUUCAUAGAUCGUCCAGACUUCAAACAACUAAUGAUAUGCUUCCAAUCCAGAUAACAAUCCUACAAUCCAGAAACCAUAAACUUGCCAGAAGCUUAAGGCUUUCCAUUAUGUACCUCUCCCUGUUCUACUUCUCUAUGUUUAAUUCAUCGUUCGUUAUCCUUCAUUUUUAAAUUUUUUUUGAUUGUUGGUAGUGGGUUCUUUUACAUAUUUUGGAACAGUAAUUACGUAAACCCUAAUUUAUGUUCUACAAUCACAGCAACCCUUUACUUCUCUAUGUUUAAUUCAUCGUCGUUAUCCUUUAUUUUUAAUUUUUUUUUGAUUGUUGGUAGUGGGUUCUUUUACAGAUUUUGGAACAGUAAUUACGUAAACCCUAAUUUAUGUUCCAUGUGCAGUUGAGAUGAACAAAACUGGAUCAAGUAGAAAUUAGUUAGAAUUUAUCAAGGUUGAAGGAUGAACUUUGUGGCGCUAUCAAACUUGAAGUCUAGAUGCAUUCUUAGGGAUUACAUGUAUUCAAGGUACGAUUUUUCGUCACACCAAAAUGGUGCUUGGCUUAUUACAUGGAGAAUUUUGCUUAUGAGCACUGGGAUGAUAUCCUCGACAUCCGUAAUAAAUAUUGAGGUGGCUUUAUCAAUAGUUGAUGGACUGAGGCCUGGAUCAAUUUAUGAUGCUGAUGACACCGCUCAAUUUGCUGAGCUUCUGACACAAGAAGAGCUAACACGUCGAGCGUGGGAGAAAGACGUACAGGUGAUGAACGAAGGACCUGGGCAUAUUCCACUACACAAGAUCCCUGAAAACAUGGACAACAAGUCUACAAGGCAGAAAAUAUAGGUUUUGUGCUUAUAUACUGUCUAAAGCAUCUCUUCAAUAGUUUUUCUUCUUUACUCUAUCUUAUUUGCUUAGACUACAUUCAAUUUGUACAUAAUGAAUUUGUUUGAAUAGUCUUUCUUUUGUUUGCAACUUUUAAUAGAACCUUAAACAGUUAAUGUGGCAUUCUUUACUGCAAGGUUUUGUAAAUCCUAAAAGGAAUUCCCGCGGGGAUAAAAGAAAAAACAAAAGCUUGAUGCAAAAGGAUAAUUUCCUUAGGAGUGGUACAUUCUACAAAAACUACCUGUGCCUCCCAAUUUUCUCUCUGUACAAGAUAUUGUAGAUGAACUACUAUCAAAUCUUUAUAGUAAGUUGUUACCAAUUUUAUUCUUCAUUGAUUGUGUGUAUGAUUAGCUUCUGUCGUUCAGCUAAUAAGCUUGGGAGUAUAUUAAAUCUGGAAAUUCGUUUAAGAAUAUUUUUGUGUAAAUGCUUAAGAAAGUUCUCAAGCUAGCUGAAAUCAACAAAAGCUCAAGAUCAGGCCCUCCAAAUUUUAAGUCUCAUGAUGUGGAAGCCAAAGAAUUGCGCAAUACCUUCAAGUUAAGGGUAGAACUAAGAAAAAGGAAUAGUUAUUGAACUCUUUUCAUGCUAUAAAUGGAGAAAUUGCUGCUCAUAUAUGAACUUGGUUAGCAUUUGUACGUCUACGGUUUCUUGCACAAAUCCUUAUAUCCAGUUAGACGUGUUAAUUCUAACCCAAUUCUAGCUGGAAAAACUAAUGCCUAUCGACAGCAGUAAAGGGCGAUACAAAGGAACGAUGAGGUCUAUAAUAAAGCUUAAGCAUUAUGCAGCAUCAAGAAUGGGAACUAUGAGAAACUAUGUAUAAAUCAGCACCAACAUAUGGCGCUAGCCUUCUCGGUGUAGCUGUUACAUGUUCAUGACCCAACAGUCAUGAAUCCUAAAAAACAUUAUUGUUGAAAGAGGUUAACACAAGCGGAGAAUCGGUUUUAUCUAACUCAAAUAUAUAUCUAUUGUUUUUAUUUUUUGUAUACACAUUAUGUUUUAGUUCAUGCUCUAAAUGUGAGCUUAUUUUUCUUAUUUUUCGGUUAUAUGACAUUUAGUUAUAUCUAUUUUUUUGUAUACAGAGUUUGUGACAAAGCACACCUUCUUGGUUUUGUCGUA